AGACGGAGGGUGCAAGCGUUGCUCGGAAUUACUGGGCGUAAAGGGCGUGUAGGCGGCCCUGCAAGUCUUUCGUGAAAUCCCACAGCUCAACUGUGGAACUGCGAGGGAAACUGCAGGACUUGAGUCCGGGAGAGGAGAGUGGAAUUCCCAGUGUAGCGGUGAAAUGCGUAGAUAUUUGGAGGAACACCGGUGGCGAAGGCGGCUCUCUGGACCGGAACUGACGCUGAGGCGCGAAAGCUAGGGGAGCAAACGGGAUUAGAUACCCCAGUAGUCC
rnacentral:rRNA from 1 species